rnacentral:rRNA from 1 species
CCUACGGGAGGCAGCAGUGGGGAAUAUUGCACAAUGGGGGAAACCCUGAUGCAGCGACGCCGCGUGAGUGAAGAAGUCUCUCGGUAUGUUAAGCUCUAUCAGCAGGGAAGUAAAUGGCGGUACCUGAUUAAGAAGCCCCGGCUAACUACGUGCCAGCAGCCGCGGUAAUACGGAGGGGGCAGGCGUUAUCCGGAUUUACUGGGUGUAAAGGGAGCGUAGACGGCAGCACAAGACUGGAGUGAAAUGCCGGGGCUUAACCCCGGAAUUGCUUUGGAAACUGGGCAGCUAGAGUGCAGGAGAGGUAAGUGGAAUUCGUGGUGUAGCGGUGAAAUGCGUAGAUAUUAGGAAGAACCCCAGUGGCGAAGACAGCUUACUGGACUGUAACUGACGUUGAGGCUCGAAAGCGUGGGGAGCAAACAGGAUUAGAUACCCUGGUAGUC